rnacentral:ncRNA from 1 species
AGAUUUCAGGUUUAGUAGGAGAUAUCCGAAUUCAUACCUCCCUUAAGCCCUGCCUCCAGAAGGAGGAGUUAACCUUUGGGAGAUCAUAUAUAAAGCGGGUGGUAAACUCCAUCUAAGGCUAAAUACUGGCGCGAGACCGAUAGUCAACAAGUACCAUAAGGGAAAGUUGAAAAGAACUUUGAAGAGAGCUUUCAAGAGGGCAUGAAACCGUUGACAGGUAAACGGAAGGACAUGGCCCUUUUCAAUAAUAAGAUCAUUUUGGCCAAUUCUAAUAGAUUUGUUAUGGAGAAAGCCAUCUGCAUCCAGAGAGAGGACUAUGGGAACUGAGUGUGGAUCACAAUAUAGUAUUUUCACCUUUGUUGCUGU